rfam:Bombyx mori DNA, contig: Bm_scaf19_contig14029, strain: p50T/Dazao, build 2, whole genome shotgun sequence.
UGAACUCAAAUUUGUGUGGAGUUGGAACGUUUGCCUACGUUUGCCGCUAGGGGCGCUGUUCCAACUGCAUACAAGUUUGAGUUA